GAAAUGCGAUAAGUAAUGUGAAUUGCAGAAUUCAGUGAAUCAUCGAAUCUUUGAACGCACCUUGCGCUCCUUGGUAUUCCUUGGAGCAUGCCUGUUUGAGUAUCAUGAAAUCUUCAAAGUAAAUCUUUUGUUAACUCAAUUGGUUUCUACUUUGGUAUUGGAGGUCUUUCAGCUUCACACCUGCUCCUCUUUGUUCAUUAGCUGGAUCUCAGUGUUAUGCUUGGUUCCACUCGGCGUGAUAAGUUAUCUAUCGCUGAGGACACUGUAAAAGGUGGCCAAGGUAAAUGCAGAUGAACCGCUUCUAAUAGUCCAUUGACUUGGACAAUACUUUUAUGAUCUGAUCUCAAAUCAGGUAGGACUACCCGCUGAACUUAAGC
rnacentral:misc_RNA from 1 species